AUGAAGAACCUAGAAACCACCUCUAAAGGAGACUCCAGCCCCCCCAAACCUGGUAACAUAUUUAGCAGAGCCAGCCAGGAGGACUUUUUUAGGGGCCCAAAUGGACCUGCCCUAGUACUUGGGCCUUGGCUCUCUGGGCAGCCUGACCUCUGGCUCCUACCUGACAAGGAUCUCAGGACACCUCAGGGGAAGCAGAAGGAAGCUCCAGCUACCUCAAAGGACAAGAAGGGGAUGCCUAAUUUGGGAAGGUUUGCUCUGGACCAGGCAGGAGUGUGUUGUUAGCUCACCACAAACUGACCUCCCUGGGUGCCCUUCAUCCUGGUGCCAGUUGGCCACCUUGCCUAUCUUCAGUGCUGAGUUAAGUAGAUGUGUUUCCUGUGUAUGUGGUGGUCAGAGGGAAGAAGUCACUUGUCUAACCUAGACAACAAGGACCAGAUGAGACGCUUGUUAGGUCACCAAGAUCGGGCUUGUCCAGGGUGUUUGUGUAUAUUUGGGGAGGGGGCACUUAAAUGUUAUGAUGCAUAGGUGGAUGCAUUUUUCUAAAGUCAUCAAAUGGUACACUUAAGAUUUAUUUGCUUCAGUGUAUGAAAAUUUUGCCCCCAAGGGGGAAGGAAGUGGGAGGGCUAGGGGAAAGGAUAGAAGGGAAUGGGAUUAAUAUGAGAAAAUGGAGAAAUAA
rnacentral:lncRNA from 1 species